UGUAUAAAGCAAUCUAAUCACUUACGUAAGUCCGAAUUAAAAAUAAUUUAAAUUGUAAUUUGACCAAUACACUUUCCAAAUUUAACAAAGGCCUUGAUGUGUGCUUGGCUUAGGUUGGUUACAUUGAUACAAAAUUGAAAUUUAUCUUAGGAAGCAUGAGAGUUUGUCUUAUAAAGAGGUUCAUUUUGUUUACUUGAACAGGUGUUCUUCUUUUAUGUUUUAUUUUGGUUAAGGAUCAUAUACGUUUUAUGAAUUUUUAGCAAUCAUGUUUUGAAACAAUAGUGUUGCUUAUUUAUGGUCUGGAACAGUGUCUGUUGUCCUUUCUUUACAUAUUAG
rnacentral:misc_RNA from 1 species